UACGGAGAGAAGUCCGGGUUCGAACCUGCAAUAAAGUGAUCCCGGCCGCUUGGCUUUGACUUCGGUUUCUGGUGGUCGUCUUUGAGGGGGGUCUCGGAACUCAGGGCACAACAGGAACACGCAUUAAUAAUUAGAUACUUAACUAUCAGAAAACAUUUACAGAUGAAGAAAGAAGAACAUCUGAACACAGACUGAGCUUACUGGAUAUUGAUGCCAGUGGCAAUAUUGGCAAACAAAUCUUGAAGAUAGAUGGCCAGAGAAAUGAUGGAAACUGUGCCUGAGUCACUGCUUGGAAGAGAGCCACCAAACCAGGAGCGCUUACAUCCGAC